UCCAAGGACCCAGGUUGCCGAUCCAACAGAAGUCAGCCCCCAACGCCUACGAAUCAAAAUUAGGAAGAAGGCGUCCCAGCGUUUCGCAGACCACAUUCCUGCAGUGCGCGCAUCUGCAGUGCAAAAAAUAGAUGCGGCACAACCAAGAUCCACGGUGCAUCACUCGCCAUCCCGUUGUCAUCGAUCGGGGAUAGUACGAUCUGAAGCCGCGGGGUGAUGGUACCCCGUGUCGCGCCGUCCUCUCCUUUCGCCCCUCACCUCGUGCCUCUGAUGCCGAUAUUACUGGGUCGUUGGACCGCCGGGUUCGUCGUCGUUACGGAGGAACCCCUCCCUCUUUUGAUCUCUAAUCAAGAGGCCUAAUUCGUCGCUAUGGUGGGAAGCGGGGAUUUUGAUUAGGUUUUGUUGCAACGGCACGUAUGUUUAUGGAUUGCGGCUCAGGUUUCCUUAGGGAUUCAGGUUUCAUUUGUCUGAUUUGGUAAAAGGGAACCCAAUAUUUGAGGAGCCAACUGGAACUCUCUCCUAGAUCUUCAUGUCGUAGAAGAAUCCACGUGGCUCGGAUGAGCAGCUUCUCCAAUGAUAUCAACAGUGGAAGGAGGAUUUUUUUUAAUUCAUCUUCAGGCUAUAGCAAAGGUCUCUCUUGAUAAUCCUAGGCUACAGAAAUGAAUGAGAACCCACGAGUUUUUCCCUGGAGAUAGUAUCAAUCGGUCGAACAAGAAGUUUAUCCUGAUUUACAGCUGGCUUCCAGAAAAGACCAAGUCUCUCGUGGAUGCGCUUCCUUCGUCUGUUUUUCCGAUGCCUCCGCAGGAGUGAACGUAACAUUUCCCCCCAAAAUGCGGUUGAUGAGGACAAAAGAAAUAUGCACCUGAAGAGUAGCCUGAAGAAGCCAUUCGCGGAUGGUUCUGUUUUGGGCAUUCAAGCUGUUGAUUCAAAUGACUCAUUGAGAGAAUUACCAAGUGGAUUUACCAAAAGAUGCAAAGUCCAGUGGACCGAUACAAAUGGUAAUGAGCUUGUGAAAAUUAAGGAGUAUGAACCCAGUGACGACUCCUCAUCAGAUGAUGAAUUUGGAUAUCAUGGUGGCAAAUGCCAAUGUAUUAUUCAGUAGAUCUCUUCUUUGCUGUGGAUAAAGGGGCAUGCAAUAUUGGGCAAUUUUGAUCUCCUUCAGGUCAACUGUAAGAUCAUGCUGCUUGUUUUCUUGACUAUUCAUGAACUCCUAACUUCAUUGGACUUGCCUGCAUUUACUGACUUCUGUUGUACUUGUGUAUCAUUGUAUUGAUUGGGGACAAUUUCUGUUGUAUACCCUUUUUUUUUUUUUUAUGCAUCCACUAUACCUUGAUUAAACUCUUCAGCUAUUCUUCAUUCUAGAUUUAUAUUUUCACAA